CAGUAGCCGCGGGAAUACGUAGGGUGCGAGCGUUAAUCGGAAUUACUGGGCGUAAAGCGUGCGCAGGCGGUUCGUUAAGACAGAUGUGAAAUCCCCGGGCUUAACCUGGGAACUGCAUUUGUGACUGGCGGGCUAGAGUAUGGCAGAGGGGGGUAGAAUUCCACGUGUAGCAGUGAAAUGCGUAGAGAUGUGGAGGAAUACCGAUGGCGAAGGCAGCCCCCUGGGCCAAUACUGACGCUCAUGCACGAAAGCGUGGGGAGCAAACAGGAUUAGAGACCCCUGUAGUCCCUGUCUCUUAUAC
rnacentral:rRNA from 1 species